rnacentral:rRNA from 1 species
UACGUAGGGGGCAAGCGUUGUCCGGAAUUAUUGGGCGUAAAGAGCUCGUAGGCGGUCUGUCGCGUCUGCUGUGAAAACUCGGGGCUUAACCCCGGGCCUGCAGUGGGUACGGGCAGACUAGAGUGCGGUAGGGGAGACUGGAAUUCCUGGUGUAGCGGUGAAAUGCGCAGAUAUCAGGAGGAACACCGGUGGCGAAGGCGGGUCUCUGGGCCGUAACUGACGCUGAGGAGCGAAAGCGCGGGGAGCGAACAGG